GACAGAGGUGCCGAGCGUUAGGCGGAAUCACUGGGCUUAAAGCGUGUGUAGGCGGGUCGUUAAGUGUCUUGUGAAAUCCCACCGCUCAACGGUGGAACUGCUGGGCAUACUGGCGAUCUUGAGCCACCUAGGGGCAGACGGAACAAGCGGUGGAGCGGUGAAAUGCGUAGAUAUCGGGAGGAACACCAGUGGCGAAGGCGACUUCCUGGCCUGUUCUUGACGCUGAGGCGCGAAAGCUAGGGGAGCAAACGGG
rnacentral:rRNA from 1 species